ACUGGGUGCAAUGGCCACGCCUGUAAUCCCAGAUACUUGGGAGGCUGAGGCAGGAGGAUUGCAAGUUCAAGCACAGUCUCCACAACAUAGCAAAACCCCGUCUCAA
rnacentral:sRNA from 1 species